rnacentral:rRNA from 1 species
CCUACGGGUGGCUGCAGUAGGGAAUCUUCCACAAUGGCCGAAAGUCUGAUGGAGCAACGCCGCGUGAGUGAAGAAGGGUUUCGGCUCGUCAGGCUCUGUUGGUCGUGAGGCAAGAUAGCGGUAGUAACUGGCCUUUAUUUGACGGUAAUUACUUAGAAAGUCACGGCUAACUACGUGCCAGCAGCCGCGGUAAUACGUAGGUGGCAAGCGUUGUCCGGAUUUAUUGGGCGUAAAGCGAGUGCAGGCGGUGCCAUAACUCUGAUGUGAAAGCCGUCGGCUCAACCGGAGAAGUGCAUCAGAAACUGGGGAACUUGAGUGCAGAAGAGGAGAGUGGAACGCGAUGUGUAGCGGUGGAAUGCGUAGAUAUAUGGAAGAACCCCAGUGGCGAAGGCGGCGCGCUGGGCUGCAACUGACGCUGAGGCUCGAAAGCACGGGUAGCGAACAGGAUUAGAUACCCUUGUAGUC